rnacentral:rRNA from 1 species
ACUCCUACGGGAGGCAGCAGUGGGAAUAUUGGACAAUGGGGGACCCGUGCAUCCAGCCAUGCCGCGUGUGUGAAGAAGGCCUUAUGGUUGUAAAGCACUUUAAGCGAGGAGGAGGCUACUAGUAUUAAUACUACUGGAUAGUGGACGUUACUCGCAGAAUAAGCACCGGCUAACUCUGUGCCAGCAGCCGCGGUAAUACAGAGGGUGCGAGCGUUAAUCGGAUUUACUGGGCGUAAAGCGUGCGUAGGCGGCCAUUUAAGUCAAAAUGUGAAAAUCCCCCGCGNUUAACUU